UCUCCGUUGGUGAACCAGCGGAGGGAUCAUUACCGAGUUUACAACUCCCAAACCCCUGUGAACAUACCUAUCGUUGCCUCGGCGGUGCCCGCUCCGGCGGCCCGCCAGAGGACCCCCAAACUCUUGUUUUAUACAGUAUCUUCUGAGUAACACGAUUAAAUAAAUCAAAACUUUCAACAACGGAUCUCUUGGUUCUG
rnacentral:misc_RNA from 2 species